rnacentral:rRNA from 1 species
AUGAACGCUAGCGACAGGCUUAACACAUGCAAGUCGAGGGGUAACAGGGUAGCAAUACCGCUGACGACCGGCGCACGGGUGAGUAACGCGUAUGCAACCUGCCUAUAACUGGGAAAUAGCUCCCUGAAAGGGGGAAUUAACACCGCAUAACACUAUUGAUUCGCAUGGAUUAGUAGUUAAAUGUAGCGAUACAGGUUAUAGAUGGGCAUGCGUGACAUUAGCUAGUUGGUGAGGUAACGGCUCACCAAGGCUACGAUGUCUAGGGGUUCUGAGAGGAAGGUCCCCCACACUGGUACUGAGACACGGACCAGACUCCUACGGGAGGCAGCAGUGAGGAAUAUUGGUCAAUGGGCGCAAGCCUGAACCAGCCAUGUCGCGUGCAGGAAGAACCUGCCCUAUGGGUUGUAAACUGCUUUUAUAGUAGAAGAAACACAUCUACGUGUAGAUGUCUGCCAGUAUACUAUGAAUAAGCAUCGGCUAACUCCGUGCCAGCCGCCGC